AUUUAAAUAGUUUAAUUUAAAAUAUUGAUUUGUGGAAUCAAAGAUAUAUUAAUAUAUUUUAAAUA
rnacentral:tRNA from 1 species